GUACACUCCUACGGGAGGCAGCAGUGGGGAAUUUUGGACAAUGGGCGAAAGCCUGAUCCAGCAAUGCCGCGUGAGUGAAGAAGGCCUUCGGGUUGUAAAGCUCUUUUGUCAGGGAAGAAACGGUGAAAGCUAAUAUCUUUUGCUAAUGACGGUACCUGAAGAAUAAGCACCGGCUAACUACGUGCCAGCAGCCGCGGUAAUACGUAGGGUGCAAGCGUUAAUCGGAAUUACUGGGCGUAAAGCGUGCGCAGGCGGUUUUGUAAGUCUGAUGUGAAAUCCCCGGGCUCAACCUGGGAAUUGCAUUGGAGACUGCAAGGCUAGAAUCUGGCAGAGGGGGGUAGAAUUCCACGUGUAGCAGUGAAAUGCGUAGAUAUGUGGAGGAACACCGAUGGCGAAGGCAGCCCCCUGGGUCAAGAUUGACGCUCAUGCACGAAAGCGUGGGGAGCAAACAGGAUUAGAUACCCUGGUAGUCCCA
rnacentral:rRNA from 1 species